CCUACGGGUGACAGCAGUGAGGAAUAUUGGUCAAUGGUCGGGAGACUGAACCAGCCAAGCCGCGUGAAGGAGGAAGGUACAGAGUAUCGUAAACCUCUUUUGUCAGGGAACAAAGGCGGGGACGUGUCCCCGGAUGAGUGUACCUGAAGAAAAAGCAUCGGCUAACUCCGUGCCAGCAGCCGCGGUAAUACGGAGGAUGCGAGCGUUAUCCGGAUUUAUUGGGUUUAAAGGGUGCGCAGGCGGUUGGUUAAGUCAGCGGUAAAAGCCGGGGGCUCAACCCCGGCCCGCCGUUGAAACUGGCAGUCUCGAGUUGGAGAGAAGUAUGCGGAAUGCGCGGUGUAGCGGUGAAAUGCAUAGAUAUCGCGAAGAACUCCGAUUGCGAAGGCAGCAUGCCGGCUCCACACUGACGCUGAGGCACGAAAGCGUGGGUAUCGAACAGGAUUAGAUACCCUUGUAGUC
rnacentral:rRNA from 1 species